rnacentral:lncRNA from 1 species
AAAGGACAACACUAAAAUAGUACAGACAUUUGCCUCAAAAAAAUAAAAAUAGUACAGACAUAAACUGGAAAAUAAAAACUAGAUUCCUCUGUUCUGUUAUCCAUGGUUGCAAUGAAUAAGACGGUAUGAGAAAGAACAAAAUUUUCAUGGCUGAACAGCCAGUGAUAAAGCAUUGGCAUGCUUCAUGCCAACAUGACUACAACCCAUAACAGGAUGAACUGAACAGAAGAACCGGACCGAUCACCGGCAUCUGUGCCGCUGGGAACAUGUGGCAAUGCAGCAUCUGGCAUGUCGAUUUAGGUCUGUUUGCCCCGUCAGUGGUUACGCUUGUGGACCUCCACGCUGCCUGCCGAUGCCAGGUUCGCGGCUCGGUUGCUGCCAAAGUUCUUGCGGUUUGAUUCCCUUGCUAUUCUUGAACCA